rnacentral:lncRNA from 1 species
GGAGAUGGGAGCGCCUAGGGACCCGAACCGAGUGCACCUGCUGCAGCCUGGCACUAGGGAUUUGAAAAUCCAUGGAGAUGGAAACCUAUGCCGAGGGAAGCCCCAGCUGUGUGCGCUACUGCAGGGUCACAGUGCCGCGGUGCCGAGCUUCUUUCGUGGUCCCUGUCGCCGUCCGUUUCUUGAGAUUUCAGACUCUGGGCUUGGAAACCAGUUGACUGCCUUUCUUAGCGAGGUGCCCUCGGAAACCUGUGGAGGAAUGUUUGGAUUAUGAAUGCUCACCGUGCCGAGUCCUCGAAGCUAUGUGACAGAGGUGGAGCACCUGGAAUGCAUAGAGAACCAGGUUCCCUUUGGAAAAUAUUCACUCGCUUCCACCAGCCCAAACCCGAAGGUACCAUCAGUACGUGAGGCCUACAACAGGGUUCUCUGUUUUCCUGUAGCCAGCCUCUCUGAUGCUCCCAACAAUGUAUUUGAAAAGCA